rnacentral:piRNA from 1 species
GAUUAUGGUGAUAACAACACAGAGGCCA